AUGUCCUAAUUAGCUGCUAUAACUAAUUUUAUAGUUAUUCUAUUCAGUUUUUUAUUGGAUUUCAAGCAAAUCACUUUGUACUAACACCAUUUUGUUUACUUUACCUUCGUUUUUAGGUCGACCGCAAUGGAAAGUGCACAUCUGUGUAUGUGUGUGUAAAUAUGUAUGCAUGUCGCUUUUAAGUAAUUUUGACAGUGAUGUGUAAAUAUUUACAAACAGCACAGAAUGGGAGAGCAAUGAACGUUGGAAGAGGCGGCCUACCAAAACAAGGUCGUUCCAAAUUCAUAAAUUAUUUUCAUUGGCGGAGUUAUUUAUACGCGGCGACGAUAAAGGGCGAAGCUAGCACAUUAGAUGCUUAGACAUUGUUAGGAAAUUUAUUUGUUAAUUAACGCUGAGUUUUGAUGAUAAAGAAAGCGCCCGCAAUGCUGUUCUAUAGAAAAUUGAUGAAAGUGUGCCAAGCUUCCUUUACUUUUACCUAUUUUGAGGCAAUAGCAAAAAUCGUCUUUAUAAAACUUAGCAAGGAAAGGAACCGCAGCUUAGUGAUUUUUACCUGGAAUGAAUAGAAGUCCUGACCUAUGAUACAUCGAAUAUCAAUGUAAGCGCAAGUCGCAAG